ACCGUUUGCAAGAAAGAAACUGUCAGAAAGAACUGAGCCCUAAAGAGAAAAGAACAACCACCCUAUGAACCCCCUCCCUCUAAACAAGAGUGCAGACAGGAAAUAUUGGUUAAACUGAGAGGAAUUGAAGCAGAUCAGUCAGUACUUUUUCUGUGCACAACAUAUCCAAUGUUGUGGCAUUAAGAUGCAGGAGGCUGACCCAAGCUACCUUCCUUCUACUGAAUCAUCCCUACUUCAUAAAGGUUUACUCUGCCCCAUUGUAGUCUCUCCUCACCCAGCCUGAAACCUACUUGCUCAGGGGUGGAGCUUGCCGCUCAAUUGUUCUGCCACGCCCACUGCUGGAGCCUGUUCUGGAGCCAUCACGUGUUCACCUGCAACCUUACUCCUAGAUUAUUUGGCAGGAAUCGGCCUGUCCCCCUUCCUUCAUAACGGAGUAUCGAAAUAGUAAAAUUGAACCUUGAGCAGAGAGC
rnacentral:lncRNA from 1 species